UACGUAGGGCGCAAGCGUUGUCCGGAAUUAUUGGGCGUAAAGAGCUCGUAGGCGGCCUGUUACGUCUGCUGUGAAAUCCCGGGGCUUAACCCCGGGCGUGCAGUGGAUACGGGCAGGCUGGAGGCAGGCAGGGGAGAACGGAAUUCCCGGUGGUAGCGGUGAAAUGCGCAGAGUAUCGGGAGGAACACCGGUGGCGAAGGCGGUUCUCUGGGCCUG
rnacentral:rRNA from 1 species